rnacentral:lncRNA from 1 species
CCAGACUGCCUGGUAGCUCUUUAGAAAGUUGUGUGACAUAUGAACCAAUUCUUCUCUAUGUGAGACUGUACUGUACAUCGCAGGCUGUCCAGCAUCGACCCUACUGAUGGAUGCUAGUAGUCCUCCCCGCCAGCACUCAACAUUGUGACAGUCAAAAACAUCCCCUCUACAUUUCCAAUGCCCCUGUUGGGGUAGCAGGACUCCCACUGAGAGACCCUAGUAGAGAUGGUCCCCAAGCAUGCUAACCAUGAAGCAGUGACAUCGCACAGCACCUGCUUCCAGCAGCCCGGAGCCAAGGGGCAAAAUGGAAGGAGUCAGCAUUUCUCUUUUAGGUUCUCUGCCUCUCCAAUGUGUAAGCUUUUAACCCCCACUAUGCAUCUUCAUUCCAUUCUCCUCCAGUACCCAUUUUAGUGAGCUUCUGUUGUUUCUGCCCCAAGAUAUCUCUAACAAAGAACCAAGAUAUUUAUCAGGAGAACUUCUCCCACUCUCCUCUCAGUCCUUGGGGAUCUGAUGAAAUGACACUUCUUGGACUGUGGGGUGGAGCAUGUGAGUCACACCUGGGCCAAUCAUUUUAUCCUAUUUCAUGACCACAUGACAAAUUCAGGGAUGAGAACAUGACCCAGGUGGAACCUAUGAGAGGCAGUGAGAUCUUUCCAGGUACUUCCAGGAAAGAGGGUCUCACUUUUCCCUCUAUAAUGUACACCAGGGAAGGUGUGUGGCUGAAGCUGCCACCAUCCUCUUGUGGUCACAGAAAGCUGGGAUUAAUUGUAACAACGCAAUUGGCAGAUGUGAAAGCUGAGAACAAAAAAGCAAAAAACGUGUGUUCUAAUAACACUAUAUAUGAGCCCUAAAUCCAGCUAUGCCUGGGGCCAGUCUUAGCGUGGAAUUUUAACCUAAGCUGGUUGAUAAAUUAUCUUUUCACUUAAGGCAAAGUCAUGGCAGAUUUUCUAACACUUGUGAAAAGACAGAUACACCCAAGAAGCUCCUGUUCUUUCUCAUUAACCCAUAUUAAAACCCACUUUCAGGAAAGGAUUCUCCAUUCUAAAUUAUGAAUAACUGAUAAUGUUUCAAAGUAUGACUCCUUCAAGAAAGUUUUCAGCUUUCAGGAUUUGUUCAGCAAAUACUGAGCCCCUUCUGAUUCAAAUAGACAUGGCAGUGUAUGCUAGGAGGAGAGUGUAGCCAAGUUUUCCCAUCAAACUCAGUAUUUCAGUGCCUAAUUUUGCCCAUUCAGAUAGGUUUCAAAUUCUAGUAAUGGCCAAGUAAAUUAUAUCUAACUAACCCUUCUGCCAAAGACAAUGGUAAAUUCUGGACCCAAAACACAAUGAUAACAACAAAACCUGUUUGAAGGUCCUUGAAACUGGCCAACAUGGUUUGGUUCUGAGACAAAAACUGAAGACGUGACCCUUGAAAAAAGGAAAUCACAUAUGGUGAGAUACACGUUUAUCAGGUUUUCCUUCGGCAGUGCUAUCCAUUUUCUGCAGUGGACAGAGGUAGAGCUCAGCAGAAAGUGGCAGUUCUACUGAGCUAAAAAGUUAGAGGUUAGAAUUUGGGGCUUCCACAGUAGCAGGAGAUUGGGAAGGAGGGAAUCUCACAAAGGAGGGAGUCUCAGAUGGGGAGCUCCCAAAUCUGUGUACAAACUUCUCUGACUCCUAAACUGUGCAUCUGGGUGAGGUUCAAGGAGCCAAGGGAAAAAUAACAGCUGGAAGGCUAAAAAGGUGUUGUCUUGUGUUGAGCAGAUGGUGCUUAGGGUUUAGUUCUCACCAAGUUAGAGGGCUCUGGAGAACACCUAAAGCUUUCUACUGAGAUUACACAAGGAGUAAUGAUUACUCCCCAGGACUAAAGCCUAUGUCCUAGGAAUAAAGGCAAAACCAAAAUAGGCCCGCCCUGACAAAGCCUAAAACCAACUCUUCAUAGCUGCAUUAUGCAAUAUGGUAACCUCUAGGCACACAUGGCAUUUCAAAUUUAAACUAAGUAAAAUUUAAAAUGUAGUUCCUCAGUCACACUAGCCACAUUUCAAAUGUUCACAGACACAUGUGGUUAAUGGCUAUGAUACUGGACUGCACAGACUACAGAAUAUUUCUAUCAUCAUGGAAGUUCUAUUGAAUGGCAUUGCUCCAUAGGAUCAAGAAACUAUGCUAGUAAUUUAACUGCUUGCUAGAACAAAUGUCAAAUUUCUUCUAAGGAAGAUAGCAGACUCCAAAGUCUUUUUAAUAUCAUCCAAAAUGCUCAGCAUACAAUUUUUAAAAAUUACUAAUUGUGCAAAGAAUCAGGAAAAUGUAACCUACAGUGAAGAGAAACAACAGGUGAUAAACAUAGACUCACAAGUGACCCAGAUGUUAGAAUUACAAAAGACUUAAUAACUACAAUAAAUAAGUUAAAGAGUCUAUAGGAAAAUAUAUCUGUAGUAGGUGAAGAGAUGGAAAAUUUUAAGAGAGCUAUGGAAACUUUAAAAAA